AUAAUGGGUCAGCGACUUAUAUUCUGUAGCAAGGUUAACCGAAUAGGGGAGCCGAAGGGAAACCGAGUCUUAACUGGGCGUUAAGUUGCAGGGUAUAGACCCGAAACCCGGUGAUCUAGCCAUGGGCAGGUUGAAGGUUGGGUAACACUAACUGGAGGACCGAACCGACUAAUGUUGAAAAAUUAGCGGAUGACUUGUGGCUGGGGGUGAAAGGCCAAUCAAACCGGGAGAUAGCUGGUUCUCCCCGAAAGCUAUUUAGGUAGCGCCUCGUGAAUUCAUCUCCGGGGGUAGAGCACUGUUUCGGCAAGGGGGUCAUCCCGACUUACCAACCCGAUGCAAACUGCGAAUACCGGAGAAUGUUAUCACGGGAGACACACGGCGGGUGCUAACGUCCGUCGUGAAGAGGGAAACAACCCAGACCGCCAGCUAAGGUCCCAAAGUCAUGGUUAAGUGGGAAACGAUGUGGGAAGGCCCAGACAGCCAGGAUGUUGGCUUAGAAGCAGCCAUCAUUUAAAGAAAGCGUAAUAGCUCACUGGUCGAGUCGGCCUGCGCGGAAGAUGUAACGGGGCUAAACCAUGCACCGAAGCUGCGGCAGCGACGCUGAUGCGUUGUUGGGUAGGGGAGCGUUCUGUAAGCCUGUGAAGGUGUGCUGUGAGGCAUGCUGGAGGUAUCAGAAGUGCGAAUGCUGACAUAAGUAACGAUAAAGCGGGUGAAAAGCCCGCUCGCCGGAAGACCAAGGGUUCCUGUCCAACGUUAAUCGGGGCAGGGUGAGUCGACCCCUAAGGCGAGGCCGAAAGGCGUAGUCGAUGGGAAACAGGUUAAUAUUCCUGUACUUGGUGUUACUGCGAAGGGGGGACGGAGAAGGCUAUGUUGGCCGGGCGACGGUUGUCCCGGUUUAAGCGUGUAGGCUGGUUUUCCAGGCAAAUCCGGAAAAUCAAGGCUGAGGCGUGAUGACGAGGCACUACGGUGCUGAAGCAACAAAUGCCCUGCUUCCAGGAAAAGCCUCUAAGCAUCAGGUAACAUCAAAUCGUACCCCAAACCGACACAGGUGGUCAGGUAGAGAAUACCAAGGCGCUUGAGAGAACUCGGGUGAAGGAACUAGGCAAAAUGGUGCCGUAACUUCGGGAGAAGGCACGCUGAUAUGUAGGUGAAGUCCCUCGCGGAUGGAGCUGAAAUCAGUCGAAGAUACCAGCUGGCUGCAACUGUUUAUUAAAAACACAGCACUGUGCAAACACGAAAGUGGACGUAUACGGUGUGACGCCUGCCCGGUGCCGGAAGGUUAAUUGAUGGGGUCAGCGCAAGCGAAGCUCUUGAUCGAAGCCCCGGUAAACGGCGGCCGUAACUAUAACGGUCCUAAGGUAGCGAAAUUCCUUGUCGGGUAAGUUCCGACCUGCACGAAUGGCGUAAUGAUGGCCAGGCUGUCUCCACCCGAGACUCAGUGAAAUUGAACUCGCUGUGAAGAUGCAGUGUACCCGCGGCAAGACGGAAAGACCCCGUGAACCUUUACUAUAGCUUGACACUGAACAUUGAGCCUUGAUGUGUAGGAUAGGUGGGAGGCUUUGAAGUGUGGACGCCAGUCUGCAUGGAGCCGGCCUUGAAAUACCACCCUUUAAUGUUUGAUGUUCUAACGUUGACCCGUUAUCCGGGUUGCGGACAGUGUCUGGUGGGUAGUUUGACUGGGGCGGUCUCCUCCUAAAGAGUAACGGAGGAGCACGAAGGUUGGCUAAUCCUGGUCGGACAUCAGGAGGUUAGUGCAAUGGCAUAAGCCAGCUUGACUGCGAGCGUGACGGCGCGAGCAGGUGCGAAAGCAGGUCAUAGUGAUCCGGUGGUUCUGAAUGGAAGGGCCAUCGCUCAACGGAUAAAAGGUACUCCGGGGAUAACAGGCUGAUACCGCCCAAGAGUUCAUAUCGACGGCGGUGUUUGGCACCUCGAUGUCGGCUCAUCACAUCCUGGGGCUGAAGUAGGUCCCAAGGGUAUGGCUGUUCGCCAUUUAAAGUGGUACGCGAGCUGGGUUUAGAACGUCGUGAGACAGUUCGGUCCCUAUCUGCCGUGGGCGCUGGAGAACUGAGGGGGGCUGC
rnacentral:rRNA from 1 species